UGUUCCCCUAUCUCCCCACCUCAAUUCUGAGAUGGUUUUAGCAUUUGGUGUCCCAAAAACCCACUAGCACUGAAAAACAGUAUUUUAAACAAAUUGAAAACUUGGAAUUAUAAAGAUAAUCAUAGAUAGUAAUCAGAAAUAUGUAAUAUUCAGAUUUGCCAUUACCACACCUAAAACCAUUUUGAUGGACUAGAAUAAAUGUUUUCAGGAAACAGUAAUUUCUCCAAGCAAGAGUCCAGGAU